GCCAGUGAUAUCCAGCGCAAAUACGUCCCCUGAAGUCCGUUAUAACUGGAUUUUCUGUAUUUAGAAAAACACCUAAUAAUUAAUCCACCGGUUCGUUCGCCCGCCUCACCUGAACGCCGCUCCCAUCUGCCUUGAGUCCACGCGGUAGAGCGCAAGCAAUCGCGCCAUUUUCCAGCACUGUCAGUCACAUUUCACCAGGGAGGAAUGCCAUUAAAACAUCUGUGUGGGGACCCAGAAGCAAGUUUUAGGAAACUGUUGUUGACAGCCAUUCACGCGGGACAUGUCUCUCUCAGUUGUCUGACUCUGCUUUUGUGAUGGAGAGCAGAUUUUUUUUUUAAAUUUGAUGUGAUGCUGCUCAGUCCAGUUUUCGAGAUGAAAGGGGCUGGCAGCCUUUUGUUUUUGAGAGAGAUUUUCAUUUUGGUCCAAGCAAAAUGUUGACACUAUGCAUGACACAGUGAGCCCAGCUAAUCUGGAGAGAAAACCUUUUGUAUUAAUAAAAUUUGCUUUUCUGUGCUUUUCACAAGCCUGGUGGCCAAGGGCAGGAUCAUUUACCGGAUGAAACCCUAAGCCUUGCUCUUGUACAUUGUGAAAGACAAC